rnacentral:tRNA from 1 species
GGACCCGUAGCCUAGCCUGGAUCGGCAAGAGGGUACAUAAGGCGACAGCCUUCUAAGCUGUAGAUCGGGAGUUCAAAUCUCCCCGGGUCCG